rnacentral:rRNA from 1 species
AGCAGCCGCGGUAAUUCCAGCUCCAAUAGCGUAUAUUAAAGUUGUUGCAGUUAAAAAGCUCGUAGUUGAAUUUCAGGAUCAUCAGGUCGGUCGUGCCUCCGGUAUGUACUGGUCUCGAUGGUUCCUCCUUCUUGUAGAACCGUAAUGCCAUUAAUUUGGUGUUGCGGGGAAACAGGACUGUUACUUUGAAAAAUUAGAGUGUUUAAAGCAGGCGAUCGCUUGAAUACAUUAGCAUGGAAUAAUGAAAUAGGACGUUCGAUCCUAUUUUGUUGGUUUCUAGGAUUGACGUAAUGAUUAAUAGGGAUAGUUGGGGGCAUUAGUAUUCAAUUGUCAGAGGUGAAAUUCUUGGAUUUAUUGAAGACUAACUACUGCGAAAGCAUUUGCCAAGGAUGUUUUCAUUAAUCAAGAACG